ACCUAGAGGAACUGCAGGAGUGGCUGGUAUGUCACAUGUACCUAAGUAGGUAGUAGACAGGAGAAAGGCUAUGUCUAUGCUUUGUGUUCUGACCUAUACACAUCUAAAUGAUCAGUAUCCUAACAUC